rnacentral:rRNA from 1 species
UACGAAGGGGGCUAGCGUUGUUCGGAAUUACUGGGCGUAAAGCGUAUGCAGGCGGAUCGUUAAGUCGGGGGUGAAAUCCCGAGGCUCAACCUCGGAACUGCCUUCGAUACUGGCGACCUUCGAGUCCGGGAGAGGUGAGUGGAACUCCGAGUGUAGAGGUGAAAUUCGUAGAUAUUCGGAGGAACACCAGUGGCGAAGGCGGCUCACUGGCCCGGUACUGACGCUGAGAUACAAAAGCGUGGGGAGCAAACAGG